UCUGCUUCUGUGACGGUUUAGAGUCAAGG
rnacentral:piRNA from 1 species